rnacentral:tRNA from 1 species
AGCACAGUGAAGUUGGUUGGUGUUGUAACGCUUUGAUUUUAAAAGAGAUUAUAUCCGCUUACAAGGCGUAGGUCGGGGGUUCGAGCCCCUCAGCACCCACCA